rnacentral:rRNA from 1 species
GAUGAACGCUAGCGAUAGGCUUAACACAUGCAAGUCGAGGGGCAGCAUGGUCUUAGCUUGCUAAGGCUGAUGGCGACCGGCGCACGGGUGCGUAACGCGUAUGCAACUUGCCUCACAGAGGGGGAUAACCCGUCGAAAGACGGACUAAUACCGCGUACACUCUAUGUUGGGCAUCCAAUGUAGAGGAAAUGAAAUUCGCUGUGAGAUAGGCAUGCGUCCCAUUAGCUAGUUGGUGAGGUAACGGCUCACCAAGGCGACGAUGGGUAGGGGAACUGAGAGGUUGAACCCCCACACUGGGACUGAGACACGGACCAGACUCCUACGGGAGGCAGCAGUGAGGAAUAUUGGUCAAUGGGCGAGAGCCUGAACCAGCCAAGUCGCGUGAAGGAUGACUGUCUUAUGGAUUGUAAACUUCUUUUAUACGGGAAUAACAAGAGUCACGUGUGGCUCCCUGCAUGUACCGUAUGAAUAAGCAUCGGCUAACUCCGUG